AUGGUUCUGGAGCGACCCUUCUGGGAAUUUCCAGUUUGUGGGCAUUUUCGAAAGGGUUUGUUGCUUGCUUGAUUUGGCCCAAAGCCACCAGUUGAGAUAAAAACUCAUUUCCUGCAGGCUGGAGGCUUGGCUCGCCCAGCAGCUCCUCUGCUCAUGCCCCAUCUGCUCUGGAGCUGGCAUGAAUCAGAUUCCUGUGUCCCACCAGCUGAGGCUCUGCAGUCCCAUGGCCUCUGAGCUUAUCAUUACUUGGCCAUUACAACAUAAUCAAUCACCAAGGUUAAUAAUAUUUCACUGCUGAUUCCUUCCAUGAAAAGAUUUCAGCUCUGAAGAAAAACCUGAGAGCAGGAUGUGGAGUUUCCAACAUGGUUUGAUUUUGGAAAAGUAGAAGUGACGGCAUCAGGACCCUCUGAUCUGAGGCAGAAAAAUUCACAUUUGAAAGCUUCAGCCUAGGGAAAAUUAAUGGGUCACGACAGGAUCUCUCCAUGCUGGGAAUGUGUGAGAUUUAUUGCACUCCUGGCAGUCCUGCUUGAGGAGGAACAGAGGCAGAUUGAAAGAGCUGUGCAGGAAGGCUCAGGAUGGCACUGACAAAUGUUCCCUCUCUUCCUGAAUCUUUGUAAUCUCCUGUAUUUUGAAAUUAAUAAUAAACUAUCAUGGCUUUUA